CAAGAGCGUAUGUAAAAGUUGUUGCAGUUAAAAAGCUCGUAGUUGAACCUUGGGUUUGGUUGGCCGGUCCGCUUUUUUGCGAGUACUGGAUUCAACCGAGCCUUUCCUUCUGGCUAACCAGUCGUUUCGGCGGCUGGCGAACCAGGAUUUUUACUUUGAGAAAAUUAGAGUGUUCAAAGCAGGCAUUAGCUUGAAUAUAUUAGAAUGGAAUAAUAGAAUAGGACGUUAUGGUUCUAUUUUGUUGGUUUCUAGGACCAUCGUAAUGAUUAAUAGGGACGGUCGGGGGCAUCAGUAUUCAGUUGUCAGAGGUGAAAUUCUUGGAUUUACUGAAGACUAACUACUGCGAAAGCAUUUGCCAAGGACGUUUUCAUUAA
rnacentral:rRNA from 1 species